rnacentral:lncRNA from 1 species
AAAGUACUGAAUAAGUAUAAUUACUAAUCAAUCUCAUCUCAGGAAGCGAAUCACAGUGAGCUGCGGUAAACUCCGGGAGCUUCUGCCCAGACUGCAAGGUGUCCGAAGUGAUAUGGUGACAGUUCUGGAAAUGACAAUUGCCUUUCUGGAACAUGUUAAGGUCUUUGCGGAGGGACACCAGUACAGAGAGAUUCUAUACCCACCACAAGAGCUGUACUGUAUGUGGCUCCUAGAGACCCAGCUGCGGAAGCAGGAAUGUCAAAGGAAGGUUUCUGAGGAGGAGCAACGGCAGAAUGUCCAGCGAUGCCCGAGAAGACAGGGUGUGCAGAAAUGUUUGGGUGACGGCACUAGAAGAAAGCCAAGUAGCAAUUGUGAGUGCAACUCUUAUGAACUUUCACAGAGAAAGUUGAAAAGGGGACUCAUUUCUUUUUUCUCCCUCUGCCAGGUAUAA